GGGCCUUAGGCCCAAAUAUUUCCAAGAAACCGGAUCCAAAUCCGUGUCCAACCAACAAAGUGGAUCAGGUCAAAGUGUUAUAAUCUGCUUAAAUGAAAAAAGCUGAAACAACAAGGAGAUGAAAUAAAUGCUUAUGCCAGAACCAUUGCUUUUGAGAUCCAUCAGCACCGUGUCUUCGUGGAUUCCGUGUUUUCAUGUGUGUGUUCUCCUUCGAUUUGUGAAAAAUGUAUGAGCAGUACACAGAUUCAAAUUCACCAUGUGGCUUCAUCAUCCGGUCGAAUUCAUCGUCGUCUUCAUCGACUCCGAAUUUCAAGAUUCAAGAUCGAAACUAAAGAUCUAUGAAACUUUGCAUCUCGCGCGUGGAAUGGUGAAGCACCGUGUAUGAAUUAAUAAUCGAAUCAAGAAGAAUGCUUACUGGAUUGGCUUUGUCGAAUCAGGUUGUUUACGUACGCGGAAUCGGAGCUCCGGUGUUAUGCUUUUAGGCGAAUAACAGACUAUUAUGUUGGUGCAAGGUGGUGACUCAUGUUUGCUUUGUCAAAUUGUGUAAAAUAACUUAUCAUGUCCCUUGUGCAAUGAACAUUUCUACCUGCCGCAGGGAUCAUGUGUAUUAUCUCUUGCUAUGUCCCUCUCAUUCAAAUGUCACAUUUCCAAUUGAGAACUCCAGUCAUAAGAAAAAGUCAAUUCAAGAGCAUAUUAUUUCAUCUCAACUGCCAUUUCAACAGCCAAACAACCUGUUGGGGAGGUUUAAAGAAUAGUGGUAAAAAAAUGGUAUUUUGUGGAUCUGCCCUAUCAAAUGAAGAAAAGGUGAUUUUGAUUAAUUUUUCAAGCAAGAUUCGUGCUACAGUGACGAAGUGUUGGACCUCAAAUGUCACCCAUGCGAUUGCAGCAACGGAAGCAAAUGGGGCAUGCUCGAGGACAAUGAAAGUUUUGAGGGCAAUUCUAAAUGGACGAUGGAUCCUAAAUGAAGAAUGGAAUUGUUGCUGGCAUAUUGGACAUGGCUCCACAUCCAUAUAAGAAUAAGUUCUGCGGGUACACACUUGUACCAAAUUGAUCGAAAUUGUGAUGGAUGAUUCAUUGUAGCUAUGUAUUGUUUAUAAUUAUGAAUGGUAUGUUAUAAUGGUAAUGGUUUGGAAUUGGCUUAUGCAUCAUGUAUGACCAUGUAUGGAUUGUAUGUAGUUAUGUUAUAAUGCUCGCAUUAGGUUGUACAUGUAUGAACUGGGUUUGGACUGUUUGUACAGGGCAUUUGGAAGCAUGGAGAGUUUGAACAAAGGCAUGCAAAUUGGCUUGCAUUUUGGCUUGUUACUGAAGUAAAUGGUGAAGGCAACAUCAAAAAGGGGAAUGUGGAUAUAUGAAGAUUCAAACGAGGAAGAUUACUUGUAAAAAUAGGAACUAAGGUUUAGGGUGGAUAAAAUGAGUCAAUUGACUUUGGGUUUUGGUCAUGGAAAAAGGUUGGUUGACUUUCGUCAAUUGGUUGACCAAAAGGUCAACAAAUGACCAAAAGUCAACCUUUUUGUAAAAAUUGCAUUUUUUUCUUUUUCUUUUGUAAUGGACAAUGUAAGUGUUGUAUGAAUGAAUGAACGGUCCUUCAUUUGAAUAGAAUGAUCUUUAAGUCAAUGCAAAAUGUAUUCCUUCUCAAAUAAAUAAAAUCCCUUCAAAAAUUCACAUUUGAAUCAUACCUUUGAA